AGCGAACGCUGGCGGCAGGCCUAACACAUGCAAGUCGAACGGACCCUUCGGGGUUAGUGGCGGACGGGUGAGUAACACGUGGGAACGUGCCUUUAGGUUCGGAAUAGCUCCUGGAAACGGGUGGUAAUGCCGAAUGUGCCCUUCGGGGGAAAGAUUUAUCGCCUUUAGAGCGGCCCGCGUCUGAUUAGCUAGUUGGUGAGGUAAAGGCUGACCAAGGCGACGAUCAGUAGCUGGUCUGAGAGGAUGAUCAGCCACAUUGGGACUGAGACACGGCCCAAACUCCUACGGGAGGCAGCAGUGGGGAAUCUUGCGCAAUGGGCGAAAGCCUGACGCAGCCAUGCCGCGUGAAUGAUGAAGGUCUUAGGAUUGUAAAAUUCUUUCACUGGGGACGAUAAUGACGGUACCCGGAGAAGAAGCCCCGGCUAACUUCGUGCCAGCCGCCGCUGUAA
rnacentral:rRNA from 1 species